rnacentral:rRNA from 1 species
ACUGCUCAGUAACACGUGGACAACCUGCCCUUAGGUUGGGUAUAAACCCGGGAAACUGGGUAUAAUACCCGAUAGGUCUCGAUUGCUGGAAUGCAUCGAGAUUUAAAGCUCCGGCGCCUAAGGAUGGGUCUGCGGCCUAUCAGGUAGUAGUGGGUGUAGCGUACCUACUAGCCUACGACGGUACGGGUUGUGAGAGCAAGAGCCCGGAGAUGGAUUCUGAGACACGAAUCCAGGCCCUACGGGGUGCAGCAGGCGCGAAAACUUUACAAUGCUGGCAACAGCGAUAAGGGAACCUCGAGUGCCAGGUUACAAAUCUGGCUGUCGGGAUGCCUAAAAAGCAUUUCAUAGCAAGGGCCGGGCAAGACCGGUGCCAGCCGCCGCGGUAACACCGGCGGCUCGAGUGGUAACCGUUAUUAUUGGGUCUAAAGGGUCUGUAGCCGGCCGGAUAAGUCUCUUGAGAAAUCUGGCAGCUUAACUGUCAGGCUUUCAGGAGAUACUGUCUGGCUCGGGGCCGGGAGAGGUGAGAGGUACUUCAGGGGUAGGGGUGAAAUCUUGUAAUCCUUGAAGGACCACCAGUGGCGAAGGCGUCUCACCAGAACGGACCUGACGGCAAGGGACGAAAGCUAGGGGCACGAACCGGAUUAGAUACCCGGGUAGUCCUAGCCGUAAACGAUACUCGCUAGGUGUCGGCCACGGUGCGACCGUUGUCGGUGCCGUAGGGAAGCCGUGAAGCGAGCCACCUGGGAAGUACGGCCGCAAGGCUGAAACUUAAAGGAAUUGGCGGGGGAGCAC